GAGAGAGAGAGAGAGAGAGAGACACGGACAGCUCUUUCUCCGAGACACCAUAAAAACAAAGAAAACUGGUCUACAGGUGAGCUUGGACAAGAUGUUGAAGGUACCCUUCAAUUCUACGGACCAACUCCAAGCCCUAGCUUCUCAAUGCAGAUUUCUUAAUCAUCACCAUAACAGCCCUCAUUUCACUCGACGCCCUAACGCCCUCGCUUUCUCCUCCUCCGUCUAUAACUCUAAGACCUCCGUUCAGGCUGUCGUGUCUCAGGGAGACGCCACCCGCGUCGAUUCUGUGUGUGAAAGCUUGGCCAACCGCCUCCGCUUGGGGAACUUGACGGAGGAUGGCUUGUCUUACAAAGAGAAGUUUAUCGUCAGGAGCUAUGAGGUUGGGAUUAAUAAAACUGCCACUGUCGAGACCAUUGCUAACUUUUUGCAGGAGGUUGGCUGCAAUCAUGCUCAGAGUGUUGGAUUUUCUACUGAUGGAUUUGCUACAACCCACACAAUGAGGAAGUUGCAUCUCAUAUGGGUAACUGCUCGCAUGCACAUUGAAAUAUACAAGUAUCCAGCCUGGAGUGAUGUAGUUGAAGUAGAAACAUGGUGCCAAAAUGAAGGAAGAAUUGGAACCAGACGUGAUUGGAUUCUGACAGAUUAUGCUACUGGUCAAGUUAUAGGAAGAGCCACAAGCAAGUGGGUGAUGAUGAACCAAGAUACUAGGCGGCUUCAAAAAGUAACUGAUGAUGUCCGAGAUGAGUUAAUGGUUUACUGCCCACGAGAACUCAGGUAGGCAGCAUUUCAUUUCUAGAGGCCUAAAUAAUCACCGUUUAUUCUCUCAUGUUUCUGCAUAAUUCAUAAUUGACAUCUAGAAGGCUAUAUUAUUUACUGCAUUAGGUUUUCAAUAGUGCGGCUAAAUUCUAUCUUCAUAUUUUUAGAUGAAUGGCUGGGUCAAGGGUGAAUUGAGAGGGAAUUUAACCACAUAAAUUCAGUAUAUCUCCAUCCACUAUUCUUCAGUUUGAACUGCAAACUGUCCCUUUAAAAUCAUGGUUUGGUUUGUGAUGGAAAAAAGGGACUUUGAGAUGUGCUUUUCAGAUAUUAACACCUCCCAAUUAUAGCUUCCAUUUUUUAGGCUCAUUUAUUUUCCAAUUUCCAGGAACAUGUGCCAUGAGAAGGUCCUUUUGGAUAUUUUCUCAUAACAGGUCUUUUCAUUGAUCUUUUAAAUGCCCCUAGCAGACAAGUUUAAGUUUUUGGUUAUAUUUGAGACUAUGAGGGAACAUUUUAAGAAAUUAGAAAUGCAUUAGCGUUUGGAACAUUUUGAGAGUGUGAAGUUACAACAUAAAAUUUUGAAAAUGCAUUACAGCAAUUUGGAACAUAUAAUAAGAGUGCAGAUUCAACAUCCCCAGCUCCACUCUUCCUUCAUUGCCAUUGCAAAAAGGACCAUUUGAAAUUUGAUGACUAUGUUUUAAUGUUGUUAGUUUUAUUUUCAUCUAAGAUUUUUUUUUUUGGUGGAAAAUCUCAAGUGAUAUGGAAGCACAGUCAACUCAUUGAUUGAUCAAAUAUCGUAACGUAUUCCAUUUUGCUUGAAUUGUGUCUGAUUCAGAAUAUUUGAUGCAUGUGUAAGAUAGUAGGAAUCCAUAAUACUUCUGUGAACUUCCUUUUUUCUAUUUUCAUUUUCCUUUUAUUGUCCACAUCUUUGGUUGACUGUUUAAGACAGUAUACCAUCAAGCUUACAGGACGCAAGCUGCAAAUUUCCAGGAAAUUCCCAUGUUUGUAGAGUAUAUGGAUAAUUGCGUUCUGUCUCAUUUUGAUUGAUUGUGAUUGACAUAAUAUAAUUGGAUUAUUUGUAUAUUGGCGGUGUUUAUAGAUUAGCAUUUCCAGAGGAUAAUAAUCGCAGCUUAAAGAAGAUUUCAAAGCUAGAAGAUCCUGUUCAAUAUUCCAAACUAGGACUUGUGCCUAGAAGAGCAGAUUUGGACAUGAAUCAACAUGUUAAUAAUGUCACUUACAUUGGAUGGGUUCUAGAGGUUGGUAAUUGAAUGUAUUCUUGAAUGGUUGUGUUGGCUUUUGGCCUCCAUUACUUGGUCUAGCAAGUUCAUUUCUCUUCAUGACAGAGCAUGCCUCAAGAAAUCAUUGACACCCAUGAACUGCAAACAAUCACCUUGGAUUACAGAAGGGAAUGCCAACAUGAUGAUGUAGUUGAUUCCCUCACAAGUGUGGAACCUACUGAGGAUUCAGAGCUUCAACCAACAAAUGGUUCUGCCACUGCAACAGCUGGCGACCAGGACUGCCAAGACUUUUUACAUUUACUCAGAUUGUCAAGUGAUGGGCUUGAAAUAAACCGCGGCCGCACUGAGUGGAGAAAGAAAUCCAUAGGAUAAAGUGAAGAAGAAGAAGAAAAAGGUGAUUACAUUUGUUAAAGUGCUAAUUGGAGCCUUGUUGGAAAAGUAAAACAAAAAAUUGGCAAGCGCAAAUGCAAAAAGCUAAAAUGAAAAGCAGAAAAUGCAAUUGGCACGCAUAGAGGUUUUAUAGGCUAAAAUAAUAAUUAAUGCACAAAUUUUCAAAAGCCAAGCGCCAAAACCUCGAGGGCCAAAAUGGACUCUUGGCAUGACCAACAUGACAGUUGUGUCUCCCAUGAAUAAACCUCUGAAUAAAUGACAAGUGGCGCUCUCCUAACUGCACAAUGGGUGCUCCACCACAGCACUCUGACACUGGAGCUUAAAAAUUAGCACUAAAAAGGGGACUAGUGAUAUAGUACAUCCCAGAAACACAAAUAGAAUGGUUCGGGUUAACAAGUAUUACAUAUCCAAGCACCUAAGUUAGGUUGAGCUCCGCAUGGCUCACCUACCAACAGCUCGGACACCUCAUCUUAGUAGUUCAACAUUUGGACACAAGGAUGUUCAAAUGGUUCUACUCAAUCGAACUAUGGUUCACUUGUUGUUCAGAAGAUCAUUCAUUAUCCAUUUGGCGAGAUCCUUGCCUAGGAUAUCGGAAACCACUAAUCCCGAAUUGCAUGUUAACUACCUACAACUCCUCCAAGGUUUGCCUAUAUAAAGUGACACAGCUUUAGACCUCAGGUACGCUUACUUUAUUAAAAUUACCACUUAUUUACUCUUUCUUCAAGCUUUCAAGCACUCAAAUAUAAUAUUAACUUGAGCGUCAAAGUGGUUACCUAAGACGACUGACCUCACACCUUUCUUUGCAAGAUCCAGGCAUUGAUCCAAGGACUCACAAAAGCAUCACUAAUGAUCACAGUUUGCUUGAGUUGUUGCAAGAUAAAUUUGUCUUCCCAAUUUACCAUUUGUAGGAUAAAUUUGUCUUCCCAAUUUACCAUUUGUAGGAUAAAUUUGUCUUCCCAAUUUACCAUUUGUAG
rnacentral:misc_RNA from 1 species